AAGGAUUUGAUCAUUUGUCGAUUCUUUUUCACGCUACAUGCUGCGUUAGUAACUAGGUUAAAUACUUGAAUUUAGUGGUUAUUCAAAAAUUAAAUUGUAAUUGCAUUUCCUUAGUGUAAUCUCUAUGAGACAGAGUUAAGGAAGGAUUAAUAAUUGAACUUUGAUUGGCUGGAUGUGAUUUGUUAUCUUCUUCCUUCAUGUAAAAGGAAAUGCAAAAUGAUAAUUUUUCAAAUAAGUAAUUUUUAAUUUGUUUUAGUGUCUAGAAUUAGUGGAGGAAUAGCAUCCUUUCACCAAACGUGACAGAGUAAAGAAAGAAAUUAAUUAGGAAACAAUUAGAUUUGUAUUGAUUGUAAAUGCUGUUUACAGAGAAUGAAUCUACUGUCUUCUAACAAACCAACCCAGCAUUACAAUAUUCCCUGCCCCAAGCAAUAAUGCUGAAAAUCAGAUACAAUCUUCCAUGUCUUUCCCCUCAUGUCUACUCCAAUUUAUAGUUUCUCAGCAUGUGCUUUACUGUUAGGAACUCCAGAUGGCAAUUCCUCUGCGAUUCCCUCUGAGAAAUUUGAUUCCUUUCUUGAAUCCCCUGCUAACUCCUUUCUCCCAGAAUUCUUUGCACUUCCCAUUCUCUUUCUGGUGUAAACUCUCAAUAUGUUCGGGCCUCUGUCUUUUUUCUUCAGGCAUCAUCCACCUCCUGAUCCAUGUCAAAUGUGUUUGCAGGUCCCUAUCAUUAUGCAUGAUG
rnacentral:misc_RNA from 1 species